rnacentral:rRNA from 1 species
UGGGGAAUAUUGGACAAUGGGGGCAACCCUGACCCAGCAACGCCGCGUGAAGGAUGAAGUAUUUCGGUAUGUAAACUUCGAAAGAAUAGGAAGAAUAAAUGACGGUACUAUUUAUAAGGUCCGGCUAACUACGUGCCAGCAGCCGCGGUAAUACGUAGGGACCAAGCGUUGUUCGGAUUUACUGGGCGUAAAGGGCGCGUAGGCGGCAAUUCAAGUCAUCUGUGAAAUCUCCGGGCUUAACUCGGAACGGUCAGAUGAUACUGCUUUGCUAGAGUGCAGAAGGGGCAAUCGGAAUUCUUGGUGUAGCGGUGAAAUGCGUAGAUAUCAAGAGGAACACCUGAGGUGAAGACGGGUUGCUGGGCUGACACUGACGCUGAGGCGCGAAAGCCAGGGGAGCAAACGGGAUUAGAUACCCAUGUAGUCCCUGAGCGGGCUGGCAAGGCGCAU